rnacentral:pre_miRNA from 1 species
AUUAUUUGGGGAUCCUGUUAAAAUGCAGAUUCAGAUUGAGCAGGGCUGGUAUGAGGCCUGUGAUUCUGUAUUUCUAACAAGUUCCCAGGUGAGGCUGA